AAAAAGUGACUCAGCUCAGCGACAACCGAGUUGGAUCCCCCUCUAGAAUGCACAUGGGACCCUUGUUCUCGCGGCAGUACACGACACGACUCGGCGGAGUCUCACUGGAAGCGGUCGGUCAGCGAGUGCGCAAAAUGGGCAUCAUCCAAGUCCUCCUCACGCCGGGCGCAUCUCAAUGCGCAGCAGAGUUUGGUCAAGGGGGCUGCCGGGGAGACGUCCGCUGUCCAAGGUGUGGUUAACCUCCUCAUUGUCUGUCGUUGAGUCUGUCGCGGGCGCAUUUACAUGCUUCCCAUCAUCCGUCCAAGAAGGGGAGCGAGAGACGCGGCACAGUUCGUGUUGCGAGCCAAGCGGAGCGCACGAAGCGGCUCUUGUUCCGAGGACACCCCCGACCCUCUACUCUUCUUUUUUCUCUUUUUAAAUAAAGCACGAAAUGACAUCCAAGACAAAGAAGAAAGAGCGCUGCCUUCCAAAAUAAGUACAAGACACCGUGGCGCAAGUGGUUGCCCGCUGGAUGUUUGCUCUUCCUCUGCGCGCGCUGAACUGACGCGCUGAUGAAAACUUUGGCGGAGCAAAGUUUCUUCGGUGCGCGCCGGCUGCAGGGCUGGCCCCGGUUUGAGCGCUGUGACCCUAUCGUAAUUGGACACACAUUAUUUGGAUCAGAACAAUCUGCAGAUAUUUGGAAUCGAGCAGAUGACCAGUUAUCUGGGAGAAUAAAUGGUAUCGCUGCGGAGAGCCAAUGAUAAGGAGUUAAACUUGACGGUUCCAAAGAACCAGAUGUGGAGAUAUGCCUGGAUGAGGAGGGGGUGUGUUCUGCCUCGUUCUGAGUGGGAUCGCACACACAGGAGAUCCCUUACUUUGAAUUUGAGAAGCUGAGAACUCAGAAGGAAAAGGUCCAAUAUCUUCAAAACAAGAUCUUUCCCACCAUCGUCAAGUUCAAACACUGAUCUGUCACCUCAGUACAAGCUCUUCAGUGAAUUUUUAA